AAGAGGUUCCAUACUCAAAAAAAUUUCAGCUAAAUGUUAGGAUUUAGUCAUUUCUAAAACCUUCAAACUUUGAGGAAUUUAUUUAGGAUCUUCCUGGCCUUAGAAAGUUAGUUUUUGCAUUGAUUAAUGACGCGGAAGUCAAUAGUACAUCUCGGGUGAAUUUCGAAGUUUUUAGACAAGCGUAAGCGCGUGUUUGAAAUUCCAAAACAGUGGCUCGCUGCGAUAAGCCCGCGGCACCCUGCCCAGAGCGAUGCUCCAGAGUUCGCAGCGCCCUGGCCAGUCCGAUCCGGGUAAAUUCUGCAGUUUUGUUCCGCAUUUUUAAGGGCAAAUGGGUCAUUUUUCCUUCACUCAAUAGCUCCAUAACACGGUAUUAAAGCCCCAAAUAGCAAAAUUGCUCAUCCUUUUUCACAAAAUCCUCUCAAGAACAAGCUCUAGCUUCAUCAAGUUCAAGAAUCAAGCCUCAAGAACUCCCCCUCAAUCUUCACGAAAUUUACAAUCAAGGUUCAGGCGCACGGGCUCCUGACCGUACUUAGCAGCCCAGAUUAUCAGCAGCAGAUUUAGUGUGCUCACAGCAGGUACCAGUCAUAGAUUAGCUUGUGGUUCUUCGGGAUCGUAAGCACCGUGUGGCUCCGGGGUACAGACUCGGGGCGCUACAAGAUGGUCCACCAAUCAUGACUUCUUGUCCAACGACCUGGUCUAUUGGAUGCCAUCGAUACAGAAGGUAUGGAGAAUACAACUAGGGGUAGGCAGGACGAUGGUAGUUGAAGCAAGAGGUGAAUGAAGACAAAUGUUUUGAGCAAAGGAAUUUAGAGUUAAAUAGUAUUAUUGGUUGGGGAGAUACUCCGAAUAAAAUGGAUUAAGGAAUUAUAGAUUCAUUCAAAGAUAAUUUAAUUUUAAUAUUGAAAUUAAAUAAAGAGUAAUGAUAUCAUUUCAACCCCAAACUUAUCCCCAUAAUUUAUUUUAGAUUUUUAAUAUAA